UUAGAGAAACCUAACAAUGGAGAAACAUGGAAAACCCCCUAGCUACUAGACUUCUCUCCUUCUUCCACACCAAAACCCUAGCCACCAGAACCGCCGGCACCCCAUCUCCUCACGCAGUAGCCGCCCCAGUUCAAACUCGCCAGAAAUCCGGCACACCCAAAACGAGGAGCAGCAUCCCACGCCCAAAAAUCUGUCCUCCACGCCGGAUUCGCCGCUGACUCCAUAGCCGGCGACUUCACCCCACCUGAACUCGCGAAAACCAGCAACAACGGCACCCACCCAAGCUGUCAAACCCGCCAGACUUCCCUAGUUUCAACAACCCGUCUCCAGCCACUCUCAGCGGUCGCAAAUCUAUUGUUUACUGUUGGAGACCUCGUUGAGCUUCACUCGAAUUGAUUCCAACAUUUGUUAAGAUUUGUUUAGUGCCUUUUCUGCUCAAGUAUUUUGAAUUCUGGAAUUUUGAUGUUCAAGUCGUGGAGUUCGAUUGAGAAACCGCCGUCCGAGGUGUAGGUUCAGUCACUGUUUUCAUUUUCUAGGCAAACUCGAUUCGUCGGAGUUUACUGUAAUCGAGUUCUCGUCUAAUACAAAGGCAUCAAUUAUUGAGGUCCAUUUCUUCUCCUCUUCCUAUAUGGAUGUCAUUUUAGUUUCCUAUUUCAUUCAACUUUUGAGAUAUGUUUACUUGUAUUAGUUUAUCCAUUAUCUUGAAGAUCACUUGAUAAAUGCCUCCAUGAAUUACAUGUGCAGAUAGGUAAUUUCAAAUUUAAGUACGAUAAAUUAAUUGACAUGACUUGGUAAAGCAAAUUGGUCGAAAGAUAUUAGCUGUUAUAAUAGAGUUUGGACUUGGUUUAAUUAAAGGGGAAAAUUGUUUCUUUUGAUGGAAUAUUGAAGGGAUUUUUUCGCGUUUCAUUUUUUUUACGAAUUGGUGGGAGCAUGCUUAGGCCGACCACAUUCGGAUUGGCAAGCCUUAGGAUUUGGUUAGUUUCGAG
rnacentral:lncRNA from 1 species